UGGCUCAGUAGGUAAGAGCACGGCGCUAGCAACGUCAAGGUUGUGGGUUCAAUCCCCGC
rnacentral:tRNA from 1 species